ACCCCCGAGUUUUUUCCGCAGCUUCCAUGGCAAAAGUUCAGGCCGAACGAGCAAGAAUAACGAAUUCGUCUGAGUAAAUUCCCAUCAUACUGAUUCGGCCCCGUAAGGAGAAGCAUUUGGCGUCCCUCAUGGGCUUUCUCGAGACGAACUUCCCCUGCCAGUGGCGAUAAACUCAUUUGAAGCUCACAGAAACAGUGUAACUAUUUAUAAGUGGCAGUCUCGAGGAUUUUGUGGCUGUUUAAAUUUAGAUUUUGAGUCUGUGGGACACAGGGCGUUUGCCCAAGACAUCUCUUCAAAGGCUCGACGUACAUCAGACGUGUCGUCCCGGUUCAUUUCGAUUUUCAUCAGACGAUAUUUCAAAAAUACACUUUUUUAACUCGUUUUUUGUACUUGCGUAGUUUGAGGUGAUUUAUACCGGCUUUUGUCGAAUAGGACCUUUUACUACUAUCGUAUUUCAGUUCGAGUGAUACCCGAGUGAUUCGAUAAUCAUUUUAUUGAUCUAUUAUCGAUACUCUAUUGAUUCAUCAACGAUCGAUCCUUAUUUUAUUUUUUCUUCGGAUUGUAGUCGAUGGAGUGAGAACUAUGUGGCCCCUCUGGGUGCAGUGAAGUGCAAUUUCUUUGUUUGUUUUGGGGAUUUUUUUUUCUGUGAAAAAGUGCUGUUUUUUUUAUUAAUUAUAAACAAGUGCUGAUGAUGGAGGGAGUCUGGACGAAUGGAUGUGUCACGGAGAGACAGGAUCUGGACCCCAUCCUGGAGGAGGACGACAAGAGUCAUCCAAAAGACUCAGAUUCCUCGGAUGCUACGUCUACUGUAAAACGUUGGGAUUGUCGUUGGACUCCUUCGGAGGCGUACGACUCCGAUGGGACAUCCUCGACGUCUGAGCGAGGAUACACUGAGGAUUAUCCUAGGGAAAUGAGUGGAGAUUUGCCUGCAGCCCCUAGGAAUCACGAGGUCUGCAGAUCACAAGGCUGUCUCUGCCAGAAUUGUUUACUGGGCUACGCUAGAUCGAUUGCCCUUCACCAGAGCAUUCCAAAUGUCUGCACAGGAUCUUCUAAUAUUCAUCACGUACCUUCCCAUCCUCAGUUGACAGUUGGUCACUGCAUCACACCAAUUGGGGACUCGUGCGACUAUCGAAAUGCCAAUCACCACUUGCAAUCAGGAAAGAAUCAGCCAAAUAUCAAGGAUCAGGUGUACCGUGGUAACUCGAAGACAUCUAGUACAGUGUCACUGUCACUGGACAGAAGACGCAGAAGACUGAGGAACAGAAAUGACAGGGAUCAGAGAGCCAGAUCACAGAGCGAUCUUCUUUACUGCGAUCAUGAGAGGUCGAUGCUACCGCAUUACUGCUCCCUCCAGCAAUUUCAGUGUCAUUAUGGCAGUAAUCCAUACAUGAAUUACUACAAUAAUAAUACCGAGGAAAGAUUGCGGAAACUUGAGAAUGAAAGGGCAGGUUUACACAUGGAAGUAUCAGUAUUAUCUGAACAAGUCGAUGCACAGUCUAGUAAAAUUUUAGAACUCGAGAAUAUUCUUCAGGAGAAGAAAGAUGCUAUGCGACAAAUGGAAGAUGUUUUGCAAAAGGAGGUAUUAUCUCGAAGUGCCCUAGAAACUCAAAAACUCGAGCUGCUAACAUCCUUAUCAGAAAUGAAACUGCGACAAGCGAGUCUGGAGCAUGAAAAUGUCGCACUUCGUAGUGCAACAUCAAUAUCAAACGGCGAAAAAUUCAGCAGACACGCAGGGCAAUAUAGCAGCCUUCCAAGACCUCCGACAUCAGUGAAAAAAGGCGUAGCCUUCGGUAAGGUUUCUCAUCAAAUAUCGGGUGCUCAAACUACGGUACCACUUGCAGUCAGAGGAAAUUCAGCCAGAUGUUUAUCUGCCCCGGCUCUAGCUGAGGAGGAGAGAAUCGUGAUCUCUGAGCCAUUAGCUCGUGCUGAAGUGCCUCCUCCGAAGCCUUUGAACGAUUUAUCAAUGGAGGAAGUGGAGGAGUGGCUUACCAGACUAGGUCUAGAGGCUUAUGCACCUGAGCUGAGGAGAUGGGGUGCUACAGGCACUAAACUCCUCGAUGCUACGGUCCAUCAGAUAGAGAAAGAACUGGAUAUUAAGAACAGUCUUCAUAGAAAAAAGUUACUGUAUGCUAUAGAGUGCGAGAGGUGUCAUGCAGUGGGAUUUAUCGGAUCUGAAAAGAUGGACAAUGGAGCAGUCCUUCGUUGGCUCGACGAUGUUGGUCUACCGCAGCACAAGGAAGCUUUUCACAAUGCCAAAGUAGACGGUCGUGUUCUUCACAGACUGACCACAGAGGAUCUUCUCACUCUCGGUGUAACAGCUCAACUCCACGCAGCAAGUUUGCGUCGUGGUAUCCAAGUGCUCCGUGAAUUGAAUUUUGAGUUUGAUAAUCUAGAGAGAAGAUCGGUGAGUGGAAAUGGAGCUGAUGGGAGUAAUGUAGCUUUGUGGACGAAUCACAGGGUUAUGGAGUGGUUGAGAGUCGUGGAUCUGGCUGAGUAUGCCCCCAAUAUGAGGGGAUCAGGGGUACAUGGGGGGCUCAUUAUUCAUGAGGGAAGAUUCACCUCUGAGUUACUCGCUACUCUGCUCAGCAUUCCACCUGCCAAAACUCUGUUGAGGAGACAUUUGACGACUCAUUUCAAUCAGAUUCUGGGGAGAGAAGUUGUACAGCACAAGAGGGAGAUGGAGACUACUCUUGGAUUUGUUCCAUUGACACUUACAGCUCGAUUGAAGGCACCAAAGAAAUCUCAAUUCACUCUGAAGCGAAAGAAGAGCAAGAGUGAAAUUGAUUACGGAAAUUUGGUGUGCCCCUUGGAAGCAUCACCACCAGGUACACCAUCGACACCCUCAUCAACUCCAGGCAGCCCUAAUCUCAAUUCACCCACAAUCUAACAAUAAUCAUUCACGCCAUUUGCCAGCUAGAUGAAUUUCAUCUCGAACUAACUCUAUUUGGAAAUAAUAGAGCACAGAAAAAUCAUUGGCUGCCUAUGAGCGAUAUUUCAAUACAAUGAAGUGUAGAUUAAUGAAACAGCAGGAAUUCUAAUAAUGUUCGAUGCACAAUAGGAGAUUGUAGACUUUAUUUAAAAUUAUGGGACCACACUAUUGGCGAAAUUGAAUCAAAUAGUCAGCUAGUGUUUCUUUUUUCAAUGAAACUUUUUACAUAAUUAUGAACUGAAUCCACGGGAUAUGAUAAUCAGUUACCAGUAUACAUUAUUCAUUUCGUGUGUGACAAUAUUCAAUAAUGGAUAGGCCAAUGAGAUUUGUUACACAAUUCAUUGCGUAAAAUGUUUGACUAGAGUCGAAUUCUUUUUAUCUAAGAGUGUGUAUUUUUAAUACCUACGUACACAUAAAUUCAUUGUACAUGUUUAUUGCGAUCCUGAGUGCCUAAAAAAAUCUAUUUUACUUUACUGCAUUCAACAUUACAUUUUUUUUAUUCUUUGUAUGCAUUGUUUUGGGGAUAAAGCCAUGAGUUAAUUGUUUUCAUUUUCUCUUUGGAAGAUCAUGGAGAUUUUAUUUUUUUUUACGUCUGUUUUUAUCCCACUGAGAGAUGUAAAAAUUCAUUACUUUCAUUUUAUUUUCAUCUAUACAUAUUUAGCGAGGGGACUCUUGAGUCAUCGUCAAUCGAAUGUAUUAAUCGCUUUCAAAAUAUAUCGUUGGAGAUUGUAAACACU